rnacentral:lncRNA from 1 species
AUUUAAUUAUAAUAUUACUAUUAAUAAAGAGUCCGUGCACGCCAACACUUUCAUUUAAAUAAUUGCAAUACAGUGGAUUUCCUUUCAACACGUAUUUAAAUCUUUCUUUGGCUAGAAAUUUCAAGAAAAAUUCAUUAACCUACAUUCCCGCUUUGCCCCGUUCCCGCAUUUCCCCAUUCCUCCAUUCCUGCAUUCCCCCAUUCCCGCAUUCCUGUAACCUAUUUUAAAGAUAGCCUUCCUCGUUCCCCCAUUCCCGGUUCCCCCAUUCCCUGUUCCCCAUUUCCCUGUUCCCCCAUUCCCUGUUCCCUGUUCCUCCAUUGCCUGUUCCCCCGUUCCCCCAUUGCCUGUUCCACCGUUCCCCCAUUCCCUGCUCCCCCAUU